GAAAUGCGAUAAGUAAUGUGAAUUGCAGAAUUCCGUGAAUCAUCGAAUCUUUGAACGCAUAUUGCGCCUCCUGGUAUUCCGGGGGGCAUGCCUGUCCGAGCGUCAUUGCACACCCUCAAGCGCGGCUUGUGUGUUGGGUCUUCGCGUCCCCGUUCAGGGGGACGGGCCCGAAAAGCAGUGGCGGCGUCGCGGUGAUCCGAUCAGCCAGAGCGUAUGGGGACUCCGGCACACGCUCGCGGCGCGGACCGACGCUGGCCUGGUCACUAAAUUCUUCCACGGUUGACCUCGGAUCAGGUAGGGAUACCCGCUGAACUGAAG
rnacentral:misc_RNA from 1 species